UCUUUUGACUGGUGAUAUUUUCGUUUUACUUUUUUUAAUAAAUUUGCUAAAUUGUAAAAAAACGUUUUUUGCUUUCUCACUAUGGGGUAUUGUGUGUAGAUUGAUGAGGAUUUUUUUUAAAAAAUUCAUUUUAGAAUAAGGCUGUAACAUAACAAAAUGUAAAAAAGUCAAGGUGUCUGAAUACUUUCCGAAUGAGAUAUACGGAAAUAACAUUUUGGAGAGUUGAUAGUACAACAAUGAUUGAGCAUGGCCAUAUUGUAGCACAGUAAAAGUAAAUAGGUCAUCGUUUUUUCUUGUAUAUAUUUUUUUUCCAUCCUCAGACUCUUCAUCCUCUAUUUUUGUGUUUCAUUUAUUCAUCCUUUGAUCCCUUCAUUUAUCCCCUUCAGCACCAUGGCCAUCUCUUGCUUGCAUCACUCCUUCCCAAGCACCAAUCUCUACAUUUUAAAGGACAUUCAUGGACAUAGGCAUGUAAGAUAAGCUUCGUGCCAGUGUUACCUCUACCAUGCCAUCAAUAGAGUGGAUUUCCCGAUACACCAGCACCCUCUUUGUCUAUCUAGGGCUGAAGGAGCCAGCCUGGUUUGAGCUGAUCCUUAGGAUUCAAGGAUCCAGGAAGUUGAGAUCGAGAGGAAG
rnacentral:lncRNA from 1 species